GAGUUGAAUGCAAACAUUACAAAGUAGUUUCCGAGAAUGCUUUUAUCUAGUUUUUAUUUGAAGAUUUUCCUUUUCCACCACAGGCCUCAAAGCGCUCCAAAUAUCCACUUGCAGAUUUUACAAAAGAGUGUUUCAAAACUGCUCUAUCAACAGAAAGGUUCAACUCUGUGAGUUGAAUGCACUCAUCACAAAGAAGUUUCGGAGAAUGCUUCUGUC
rnacentral:lncRNA from 1 species